AUCCAGAUGAGGAGUCCUAAGUAGGAUGAAAUGCACAUCCUGGAU
rnacentral:hammerhead_ribozyme from 1 species